rnacentral:lncRNA from 1 species
GGGGCUGGGGUCGUCACCUUUGACCCCAAGAAGGCUGACGUUGGGGCUUGGGUCUCGGAGUCCAAGAUGGCCGAUGUUGGAUCCAAGAUGGCUGACGUUGGGGCUGGGGUCUCUGAGUCCAAGAUGGCCGACAUUGACUUCACACCGCUCUCAUUGGCUGACCUGGCCCUCAAGAUGGCCGACGUUGGAGUGGAUGGGAGUGGAUCCAAGAUGGCCGACGUCGGGGCUGAUUCGGGCACCAAGAUGGCAGACGUUGAACACGCAGCGCUCUCAUUGGCUGAUGUUGCCCCCAAGAUGGCCGACGUUGACCUCACAGCGCUCUCAUUGGCUGACGUUGCCCCCAAGAUGGCUGACCUUGACCUCGCAGCGCUCCCAUUGGCUGAUGUUGCCCCCAAGAUGGCCGACGCUGACCUCUGGCGGCGUCCCGCCUCCUGAUUGGCCACCGCUGACCCCGAGUUGACCCCGGCUGACCCCAAAAUGGCGGACGCUGACCUCCCAUCGCCCCCUGCCCCCAGGCUCACGGCCGCUGACCCCGCACUGGCCGACGUCGAGCCCAGACUGGCGUUCACUGACCCCAAAACGGCGGACGUUGACCCCCCGCCGCCGCCUGACCCCGCCGUGACCCCCGCUGACCCCGCACUGACCUCCGGUGCUCUCGCGUCGCCCUCCGCCGCCCCCA